CUCACUGAAAAUACUGACAUGAUCAGUGUGUAGAAAAGGCUCCAAAGUUAUGUUAAAUCCUGUUUGAUUUCAGUUCUGUUUAAGUUAUGCUUUCACUUUCAAUGUGGGAGGAGCUUCCCCAGCUAGUGUUUGACUGUGAGUGAGUGAGGCCAUGCGGUGAUGAGAGCUGGUGCAGUGACAGACAAGUGACAAGAAGCUGGAUGUGCGUGAAUGAAAGAGAAACAAUCAAGGGAUCAAACAACUUUGCAAAACAUUACUGCAAAGUUGUAACAACAGCCCCGCUGGACGUCACUGGUGAGCCUCAUGUCUUUUAUUGUGAAGGACUUGUGGCUCACAUGACAACCUACCUUCUGCCCUACGCAGCCCUGUGGAGCGGGAUAAUGCUUGGGAACCUUGGACGGCAUGGAAAAGGAAAGGUGUACAAAGAGAACAUGAUGCAAACAUGAUGCCCUGAGAAAGCUCACAAGACAAAACAUUACACAGGACAACAACACUCAGGGAAUAAUGGAGAAGAGCCAGUGAGACCUGAAACAGAUACGUUUCAGUCAGUUCCCACAGGCUCACAAGACUGGACCAUUUUGUGGUCCAGUACCAGAAGUCCCAC